rnacentral:rRNA from 1 species
CUGACCAGCGAUGCCGCGUGAGUGAUGAAGGCCUUCGGGUUGUAAAGCUCUGUGGGGCGAGACGAAAGCCUGGGUUCUAACAGGACCCAGUUUGACGGUAUCGCCUUAGCAAGCACCGGCUAACUCUGUGCCAGCAGCCGCGGUAAGACAGAGGGUGCAAACGUUGCUCGGAAUCACUGGGCGUAAAGGGCGUGGAGGCGGAGAGAUAAGUCGGGCGUGAAAUCCCCAGGCUCAACCUGGGAACUGCACUCGAAACUGUCUUUCUUGAGUGCCGGAGAGGAAAGCGGAAUACCUGGUGUAGAGGUGAAAUUCGUAGAUAUCAGGUGGAACACCAGUGGCGAAGGCGGCUUUCUGGACGGUAACUGACGCUGAAACGCGAAAGCCUGGGGAGCAAACCGGAUUAGAUACCCUGGUAGUCCACGCUGUAAACGAUGAUUGCUAGGUGUCGUGGGUAUUGACCCCCGCGGUGCCGAAGCUAACGCAUUAAGCACUCCGCCUGGGAAGUACGGUCCCGAGACUAAAACUC